CAAUAGCGUAUAUUAAAGUUGUUGCGGUUAAAAAGCUCGUAGUUGGAUUUCUGCCGAGGACGACCGGUCCGCCCUCUGGGUGAGUAUCUGGCUCGGCCUGGGCAUCUUCUUGGAGAACGUAGCUGCACUUGACUGUGUGGUGCGGUAUCCAGGACUUUUACUUUGAGGAAAUUAGAGUGUUUCAAGCAGGCUUACGCCUUGAAUACAUUAGCAUGGAAUAAUAAGAUAGGACCUCGGUUCUAUUUUGUUGGUUUCUAGAGCUGAGGUAAUGAUUAAUAGGGAUAGUUGGGGGCAUUCGUAUUUAACUGUCAGAGGUGAAAUUCUUGGAUUUGUUAAAGACGGACUACUGUGAAAGCAUUUGCCAAGGAUGUUUUCAUUGA
rnacentral:rRNA from 1 species